UCAGCUCAGUGGUUAGAGCUUAGGUGUUGCAACCGGAAGGUCCCGGGAUCGAAUCCCGCUAGAGAA
rnacentral:tRNA from 1 species